CCUACGGGACGCAGCAGUGGGGAAUAUUGCACAAUGGGGGAAAACCUGAUGCAGCGGCGCCGCGUGAGUGAAGAAGUAUUUCGGUAUGUAAAGCUCUAUCAGCAGGGAAGAAGUUGACGGUACCUGAGUAAGAAGCCCCGGCUAACUACGUGCCAGCAGCCGCGGUAAUACGGAGGGGGCAAGCGUUAUCCGGAUUUACUUGGUGUAAAGGGAGCGUAGAAGGCAGUGCAAGUCUGCAGUGAAAGCCCCGGGCUUAACCCGGGAACUGCUUUGGAAACUGUACUGCUGGAGUGCUGGAG
rnacentral:rRNA from 1 species